GACGAACGCUGGCGGCGUGCUUAACACAUGCAAGUCGAACGGUGAAGCGCCUUCCUUUUUGGUGGGUGUGGAUGAGUGGCGAACGGGUGAGUAACACGUGAGUAACCUGCCCCCUUCUUCUGGAUAACCGCAUGAAAGUGUGGCUAAUACGGGAUAUUCUGGGUCUGUCGCAUGAUGGGUCUGGGAAAGAUAUUGUUUCGGUGGGGGAUGGGCUCGCGGUCUAUCAGCUUGUUGGUGGGGUGAUGGCCUACCAAGGCGGUGACGGGUAGCCGGCCUGAGAGGGUGGACGGUCACACUGGGACUGAGACACGGCCCAGACUCCUACGGGAGGCAGCAGUGGGGAAUAUUGCACAAUGGGAGCAAGCCUGAUGCAGCGACGCCGCGUGAGGGAUGGAGGCCUUCGGGUUGUGAACCUCUUUCGCCAGUGAAGCAGGCCUGCCUCGUUUGUGGGUGGGUUGACGGUAGCUGGAUAAGAAGCGCCGGCUAACUACGUG
rnacentral:rRNA from 1 species